rnacentral:lncRNA from 1 species
UGGUGGUGACUGAAAAUAAAUGAGAAAGGAUUUAAGGUUGAAUUUUAUCAAUAUCUUUGGGGUCCUUAGCUAUUUCGCUUUAUUCUUUUUGAUAGUAUGUUAUGAGUUGGUUUGGUUUUAGCUUGUUUUUGACAUGACCUUGGUCUUGAUUUUUUUGCAUUGCUUCUUGUAAUUGUAUUUUGUACCAUUGUUGCAUUUUGUGUUAUGGGUAGUGCUCAUUAAUAUAUCUUUUUGGUUUAUUAAAUAAAAAAUCAAUUUUGAUUUCAAAAUAUACCGAUAAAAAUGAAGAUGACAGAGUUAAAUGGAUGGUAUAAUUUCGUCAACAAAUGUGUUAUUUAGACAAAAAAAAAUCAAGAAUG